UCGGGGUGCGCAGGCGCGAAAACUUUACAAUGCGGGAAACCGUGAUAAGGGGACACCGAGUGCCAGCAUCAUAUGCUGGCUGUCCAGGUGUGUAAAAUACACCUGUUAGCAAGGGCCGGGCAAGACCGGUGCCAGCCGCCGCGGUAACACCGGCGGCCCGAGUGGUGAUCGUGAUUAUUGGGUCUAAAGGGUCCGUAGCCGGUUUGGUCAGUCCUCCGGGAAAUCUGAUAGCUUAACUAUUAGGCUUUCGGAGGAUACUGCCAGACUUGGAACCGGGAGAGGUAAGAGGUACUACAGGGGUAGGAGUGAAAUCUUGUAAUCCCUGUGGGACCACCUGUGGCGAAGGCGUCUUACCAGAACGGGUUCGACGGUGAAGGACGAAAGCUGGGGGCACGAACCGGAUUAGAUACCCGGGUAGUCCCAGCCGUAAACGAUGCUCGCUAGGUGUCAGGCAUGGCGCGACCGUGUCUGGUGCCGCAGGGAAGCCGUGAAGCGAGCCACCUGGGAAGUACGGCCGCAAGGCUGAAACUUAAAGGAAUUGGCGGGGGAGCAC
rnacentral:rRNA from 1 species